rnacentral:rRNA from 1 species
CGGGGUGAGUAACGCGUGGGUAACCUGCCUCAUACAGGGGGAUAACAGUUAGAAAUGACUGCUAAUACCGCAUAAGACCACAGCACUGCAUGGUGCAGUGGUAAAAACUCCGGUGGUAUGAGAUGGACCCGCGUCUGAUUAGCCAGUUGGCAGGGUAACGGCCUACCAAAGCGACGAUCAGUAGCCGGCCUGAGAGGGUGAACGGCCACAUUGCGACUGAGACACGGCCCAAACUCCUACGGAAGGCAGCAG